rnacentral:lncRNA from 1 species
AAUAAAAUCAAAGGAUGAGAUUAUUCACUUUUCAUAAAUGUUUUAUGAAAGUUCUAGUUGUUAGCAACUUGGACAAAGCAUUUGUGAAAUUUUCUUGCUCCACUUCCUCACCGCAUAUUCUUUUCUGUUCCUACAGCUUGCAAAGAAUUGUCAAGGACAUUUCCUUCCCCCUUUGGCUACCCCUGAUUCUUCCAUCAGCUGUCAUUCAUCUCAGGAAAUAUUGCAUUUCUGAGGACCAGUGCAUUCUGGAUUCAUCUUUUACAAUUCAACCUGCCAGAGAAGAAAUGAUGGCAAAAUACUCUAACCUUUCCUUGGAGAGUCAUAACAUAUCACUGACAG